CCUACGGGUGGCAGCAGUGGGGGAUAUUGCACAAUGGGGGAAACCCUGAUGCAGCGACGCCGCGUGGGUGAAGAAGCGCCUCGGCGCGUAAAGCCCUGUCAGCAGGGAAGAAAAGGACGGGACCUGAAGAAGAAGCCCCGGCUAACUACGGGCCAGCAGCCGCGGUAAUACGUAGGGGGCAAGCGUUAUCCGGAUUUACGGGGUGUAAAGGGGGCGGAGACGGGGAUGCAAGCCAGGAGUUAAAGCCCGGGGCCCAACCCCGGGACUGCUCUUGGAACUGCGUGGCUAGAGUGCAGGAGGGGCAGGCGGAAUGCCUGGUGUAGCGGUGAAAUGCGUAGAUAUCAGGAGGAACACCGGUGGCGAAGGCGGCCUGCUGGACUGCAACUGACGUUGAGGCCCGAAAGCGUGGGGAGCAAACAGGAUUAGAUACCCUUGUAGUC
rnacentral:rRNA from 1 species